rnacentral:rRNA from 1 species
UACGAAGGGGGCUAGCGUUGCUCGGAAUCACUGGGCGUAAAGCGCACGUAGGCGGAUUGCUAAGUCAGGGGUGAAAUCCUGGAGCUCAACUCCAGAACUGCCCUUGAUACUGGCGGUCUCGAGUCCGGGAGAGGUGAGUGGAGCUGCGAGUGUAGAGGUGAAAUUCGUAGAUAUUCGCAAGAACACCAGUGGCGAAGGCGGCUCACUGGCCCGGUACUGACGCUGAGGUGCGAAAGCGUGGGGAGCAAACAGG